GUGGGGAAUAUUGGACAAUGGGCGAAAGCCUGAUCCAGCCAUGCCGCUUGUGUGAAGAAGGUCUUCGGAUUGUAAAGCACUUUAAGUUGGGAGGAAGGGCAGUAAGUUAAUACCUUGCUGUUUUGACGUUACCGACAGAAUAAGCACCGGCUAACUUCGUGCCAGCAGCCGCGGUAAUACGAAGGGUGCAAGCGUUAAUCGGAAUUACUGGACGUAAAGCGCGCGUAGGUGGUUUUGUAAGUUGGAGGUGAAAUCCCCGGGCUCAACCUGGGAACUGCCUCCAAAACUGCAUGACUAGAGUACGGUAGAGGGUAGUGGAAUUUCCUGUGUAGCGGUGAAAUGCGUAGAUAUAGGAAGGAACACCAGUGGCGAAGGCGACUACCUGGACUGAUACUGACACUGAGGUGCGAAAGCGUGGGGAGCAAACAGGAUUAGAUACCCGAGUAGUCC
rnacentral:rRNA from 1 species